ACUAGCCUACUAAAAUUAAUAUGAAAAGACAGAGUUACCCUUUCCUUCCCAAACAGAAUUACAGUGGAUUGGACUGCAAAAUUCUCUCACCAUCCAAACACGAUCUCACUUCAAACAAAGACAUUCACAACUUUUUGAGUGUGUGUGUUUGUGCAGAAGGAGGACAACUGCAAUGGCAAUGGCACAAUAGCUAUUCGGAGGCUUUCAUCUACAGCUGACAAACCCAUUAAGCGUCUCUACAAUGGUGGCUCUCUAUAUUACAUGGUUUGUCUUUGUUUAGUAGUAGUAUCAGUUUUUUCCUUAAGUUAUUUUCUUAACCCUUUUUUUAGGUCAGUUUGUUGUUGCCUUGUUGAACUAAUUCGUAUCAUUGUUGUUGUUGUAGUCAUCUUUACCAAAUAAUGCUGUCUAACAAUGAAAAAACUGGAGUCACCGUAAG
rnacentral:lncRNA from 1 species